rnacentral:rRNA from 1 species
UAGGAAUCUGCCUGGUAGUGGGGGAUAACGUCCGGAAACGGACGCUAAUACCGCAUACGUCCUACGGGAGAAAGCAGGGGACCUUCGGGCCUUGCGCUAUCAGAUGAGCCUAGGUCGGAUUAGCUAGUUGGUGGGGUAAUGGCUCACCAAGGCGACGAUCCGUAACUGGUCUGAGAGGAUGAUCAGUCACACUGGAACUGAGACACGGUCCAGACUCCUACGGGAGGCAGCAGUGGGGAAUAUUGGACAAUGGGCGAAAGCCUGAUCCAGCCAUGCCGCGUGUGUGAAGAAGGUCUUCGGAUUGUAAAGCACUUUAAGUUGGGAGGAAGGGCAGUAAAUUAAUACUUUGCUGUUUUGACGUUACCGACAGAAUAAGCACCGGCUAACUCUGUGCCAGCAGCCGCGGUAAUACAGAGGGUGCAAGCGUUAAUCGGAAUUACUGGGCGUAAAGCGCGCGUAGGUGGUUCGUUAAGUUGGAUGUGAAAUCCCCGGGCUCAACCUGGGAACUGCAUUCAAAACUGACGAGCUAGAGUAUGGUAGAGGGUGGUGGAAUUUCCUGUGUAGCGGUGAAAUGCGUAGAUAUAGGAAGGAACACCAGUGGCGAA